CUUCUCCCCUUCACAUCCCAUAUUUUCUUUUCUUCCCUCCUGCCGCUCACAUCUUCCACGCAAGAGGCAACCCAUCGAGCCCCCUCCCGAUAUCUUAUCCCAUCCACAAUACAGGGCGGCGGCGGCGGCUGGGAUCCCAUCUCCAUGCCAAGUGCUCUCUGGCACGACCGCCAAUUUGGCUUGCCUCCGUAGCACUCGAGGAUUCUCUAGGGCUAUGUUUCGCUGGUGUGGUGUGCAUCGUCAAGACGGCGGUGCCCCGGUCCUUCCCCCAUCUAUGUCUUCGUUCCAUCCAAGGUAGCUCCGGUGCUGCUCCUCCACCGGCCGUCUGCGCCACCCAAAUCAGGCGUAACCUCUUCUUGUGUCCACCGCCCAGACAUGUGCCGGCCAAGCUGGCCGCAGAAACACCAGCGACCUACAUCGGAAGCAUCACCGCUCGUAUGGAUGCCACCGCGGCUGCCUCAUUGCAAUAGCAGGCCACCGCACGCAUCCGGAAACCGUGCAGAGAUAAAUCUACUACACACUCCAGCUAAGUUGAUAAUUUUUUCUUCCCUUUUGACUAUUUCCAGAUAAUUAAGUGUUACACAUGAAGUCUUCAUGAGUAAUCAAGAUUGGUUCAUUAAUAUCGCAAUUUCCCUUUUGAUUCCUGUGAUCUCCCUAAUCCUCUUCACCAUAGCGUCUGGGUCCAUAAUCUUUCUUUUCAUUUAUUUUUGGGGAUGGCUCCGUGCACCUAUAUAUCUUGAUUUUGCAGCAGGCCGCAUGCCGUCAGGAAUCCAUCAAUUCCUGCUUCUGCUACUGCAUGAAGGUUCACACUGAUGUUUAUUCACGCUCUUGAUCUUUCAAGCCCUUAUUGCUGCAUUCCAAGUCCUUCCCCUUCCCUUGCUGUUGUGCAUUAGGAUGGUCCCAUAUAGCUGCCUCUUGGUCUCUAUUCAACCUUCUGACCGCUGGUAAUCCUACACCUUGCAAAACUUCCUUCACUUUCAGUAUCGGUGCCGCUUUCGGGCGCCUCAACCUGCACUUAGAUCGGGAGAAAAAGGAUAGCGGAGACUAGAUAAAGGAAGAGGGGAAGUGGAUAUAUCAACUUCGUAUGACGCAACAUGGCCAGGUAGAUAUGCAGCCGGCAAAAGCGUUUGCUUGGUUAGGGGAGGAGAGUUGUUGUGUCACACGUGAACUACAUCAUGAUCUGCUGCCAUCAAGAGAGACACCCAGCUCCAAAAAAUAGUUUCAACUUGCAGAUUUGUUGUUGACUAACCAAUUUUCUCUAGCAGGUGCUGUCAAUCAUAUUAUUCUACCCCUUUGAUAUAGGCGAUGCCUAAAAUCCACUGAAGGUUACCUUUUUCUAUAUUCGGCGAUUGAGUCUUAAUCAUUCUGAUGUUUUACUGUCAUGAGUUACUUCAACAUAUAUUCGGCGGUUGAGUAUAAAUCAUUCUGACAAGUAAAUGCAUGUGAACAUUCAAAGGAAGAUGGUAAAAAAUAGUAUAUGAUGGAAUCAUCUAGCAGUUCCUGGAGGUUGUGCUGUCAAGAAUCGAAUGCUAUUUUCCCAAUAUAUAGGCGUAAGAACAUCUCCUGCUUUAAUGGCCCCAUUAUUGAACCAAAGUUCCACCAUGCUAAGUUUAAGAGCUUUCUCCCUUACCUGACAUUGUCCUAUGAAGUCAAAUUGGCUCAGUACCUUAUUUCAUUCUAAAACUUACUUUUCUCGCUAAUUGUUGUAUCAUAAUUUCAUUCACUGAAUGUAGUAGAUUGAAUAAAUUUGCAGAAUUAUGAUACAACCUGAACUGGUACUACGGUUCUGUUCUCGCCAUCAUGCAACUUCCUGCACACUAUUCUGUUUUGCCCUCCCUGUUAAUGCAGAUGACUGCUCGCUUUUGUGGCCAGAUGAAGAUAAGGAAUUGAGAUUCGAUGCAAGUGAUAAAGAAGAAGCAUUACCACCUCCCAAGGAAAUCUCCAAUGUCUAUUUGUUUUGUGUUUCUUUAUCUGCUCUUUGUGUGUCAGUUAUUUUGGUUCGGAUGAUGGAGCGGAAACACCGAUAAACAUUGAAAUGAUAUAAAAAACACACAAUCUUUGUAUUUUUCUU